rnacentral:lncRNA from 1 species
AUGCUGAGGCUGGGCUCCCGCUCGCACCCGGCCAGCCUCCUCCGCCACCUCGCACAGAGCCGAGGUCUGCGCGCGGCCGCAGAGCUGCAGCAAGCUGGUUCUACAGGCGCCUCCGGGCCCCCUCUGCAGGCAGCUAGGGCUGCAGCCCCAAAUUCUCUAGGCUGUCGCAGCCUGGGGCGCUUUUCCACCGGAGUUCGCCCAAACGUAUUUUUUCUCCGGAUGAGGAGAUGCUGCAGGAUGUCUCCGAUCCCGGCAGCUCUGUCUCCCCGCCUCCCCGCACCAUACCCCCGCCUCCCUCAGAGAACAGGGAGAGCUACUCUUUCCCGGAGCUGCAGAGGACUUGUUCCACCCACGCUGCCCUGCCCAGAUUGGACAGUUAUGACGGCCUCGUUGCAGUCCGUCCUUAAGUUACCUGCUCUUUUGCUGGGUUCUGAAGCCCAGGUAAGAGCGCAGAAGCAGCCUUUGGCCCGUGGGACAUCUUCCCUAUUGGCACUUCCUCCUCGCUACACCUCUUUAAUGGCAGAGACUGACGGUACUGGUGGAGGAAACAUCAUCCUACGGUCCUGUUCCCACCGAGGUGACAGGAACCCAAUGUCAGAAGGAGCCCUGUGAAGAUCUGGUAACCUACCACAGGUUGAGUCUCCUGUUUCAUUGCUACUCUGACGAUGCAGAGGAUUCCCUGGGCCUCUUGAGCCUCUUUCUUUACCGCCGGGAAGCAAAGGUGAGAGUUUGAGUGGACCCUCCAACAAAGUUGGAGGACAGAGAAAAGCUCUCGUUUCACAUGAAGUUUCACCCAUUGGUGAGGGAUCAUACAGGGAAUGUUCUCUGCCAAAUGCCCUAUUUGGAACAUCAAAUGCAUCAGGAUCUCUUGCUAAGAGUUUAAAUUUAAACUCUAUUUCAGUUAAUUUUUGUCUGCUGUGAGCAUUUUCUUUCCUUAAAUCAUUGAGGUUUCCUUCAGCAGUCCGACCUGCCAACUGAUUACGAUGUGCUUUUUUCUCAUAGGCAAUAGUCCACCGUUGAUAGUAGUGAAUAGUUCUCUUGAGUUCCUCUUCGAGAUCUUUGGCUCGCUUUCUAUAGGUCUCCACCUCCUCGGUGGCAUGGACGAUCUUUUUGUCUACUUUAGAAAGUUUCUCUUCUUUCUCUAACUGGCUGUUUUCCUGUAGUGUUAAUUUCCUAUAGAGCCUCAUUUCAUUUUCUUGAUAGAACUGAGUCAUUAUUUUAAGUUUCUGUUGAAGCUUCCGAUCCUCACUUUCUAAAUGUGUGUUUUCUGACUGCAAAGAUGCUUGUUGAGUCUGAAGAUUUUUAAUACACUGUGUAAGCUCUUCCUUUGUUUUUUCACCUUCAGAUAACUGAAAAUCAAUUUGGUUUUUUUCUCCUUCCAAGAUUUUUAAAGAAGUAUUUAACUUAGCAGCAUGAAUCAGUUUCUUCAAAGCUCCUUUUGGAGGAUGAUCUAAGUAAGCACCAUCUUCUGAUUCGGUGUUCAUUGCCAAUUUCAAGUUCUCAUCUUUCAUUAUGUCUUCUCCAAGCACAGCAGCCCAGUCUUUCAUCUUCAGCAAGCGUUCAGUCAGAAUCUCGAUGUGAUUGUCUUUAUCAUUUAGAACUUGCUCUGCGUGUACUCUGGAAUCUUCCAAUGUUAUUUUCUGUUUAUUAAGUUCACUCACUUGUUCUUUCCAUACUUCAGCUUCUUGCAAAAGCUGUUUCUGGCUUUCCUGAAGUUGAGAAUGUUCAUUCAAGGCAUCUUUUAUUGCUAUCUUCAGUCGUUCUUCAUUCAUUUGAGAUAUCUUCAAGAUGAUUUUGGCUUCAGCUACUUGCGAUUUGAGGGAUUUUGACUCAUCUUCUAGAGACUGUAUAGUUUUGGAAAUAUCUGCCAUCAGUUGCUUUUGUUCAGAAUGUUUUGAUUUCUGUUCUUUUAACUAUUUUUCGAGACCAAGUAUCUCAUCCUCAAGUUCAUCAUUGGACCUGUUCAGCUUUUCACAUGUUGCCUCCAAACUUCGUGCCUCUGCUGCCUCCUCCUCAAAGCUGGCCUCCUUUAAAGAUGACUCUAUUUCACAGCUUUCAUGCUCUUUUUUUUUUUUUUUUUUUUUUUUAAUUUUUUAUUGGAUUAUAGGUUUUGGGGUACAUGAGCAGAGCAUGCAAGACAGUUGCGUAGGUACACACAUGGCAGUGUGCUUUGCUUUUCUUCUCCCCUUCACCCACAUUUGGCAUUUCUCCCCAGGCUAUCCCUCCCCACCUCCCCCUCCCACUGGCCCUCCCCUUUUCCCCCCAAUAGACCCCAAUGUUUAGUACUCCCCUUUCUGUGUCCAUGUGUUCUCAUUUUUCAUCACCCACCUAUGAGUGAGAAUAUGCGGUGUUUCAUUUUCUUUUUAAAGAGGGUAAGGUUUUCAAGUAGUUUACAUUUUUUUGUCAAUUAGUUCAGAAAGCACACCGGCAAGCUUUUUCUCUCUUCUCACAUAAAGCCAACUUCUAAUCGAUCUCAAACUUCUCCACAAAAAAAUGGGAACAGCAAAAAAUCCAACAAUAGCUGCCCAUAUCACGAAUUCCCAUGGAAACCCGUAAGAAUUAGAAUUUGCUGUCAUAUUUUGAGGCAGUGCUGCCACAACCCUGCGUAACUCCACCAGGACCAACCCCAUGUAGGGCUGAGAGGUAGACCUGGGCUCCCGCACACUGCUAAGGCUGCUCUGGCGGUUGCCACAGUAACUGGGGCAACAAUAAGCAGAGGAGAACAUGCAGCCUUCCAUUUAGAACCCAAAUACACGGGAGCAGACCAUUGCAGAGCUGGC